rnacentral:rRNA from 1 species
GUGGGGAAUAUUGGGCAAUGGGCGAAAGCCUGACCCAGCAACGCCGCGUGAGGGAAGAAGGCCUUCGGGUUGUAAACCUCUGUCCUUGGUGACGAAAAAAAUGACGGUAGCCAAGGAGGAAGCCCCGGCUAACUACGUGCCAGCAGCCGCGGUAAUACGUAGGGGGCGAGCGUUGUCCGGAAUUACUGGGCGUAAAGGGUGCGUAGGUGGCCUUUUAAGUUGGAUGUGAAAUCCCCGGGCUUAACUUGGGUGGUGCAUCUAAUACUGGAGGGCUAGAGUGCAGGAGAGGGAAGCGGAAUUCCUAGUGUAGCGGUGAAAUGCGUAGAUAUUAGGAGGAACACCAGUGGCGAAGGCGGCUUUCUGGACGAUGUCUGACGCUGAGGCGCGAAAGCUAGGGGAGCGAACGGGAUUAGAUACCCCGGUAGUCC